GCCGGGCGCGGUGGCGCACGCCUGUAGUCCCAGCUACUCGGGAGGCUGAGACAGGAGGAUCGCUUGAGUCCAGGAGUUCUGGGCUGUAGUGCUCUAUGCCGAUCGGGUGUCCACAGUAAGUUCGGCAUCAAUAUGGUGACCUCCCGGGAGCGGGGGACCACCAGGUUGCCUAAGGAGGGGUGAACCGGCCCAGGUCGAAAAUCACAUCUCCUGAUGAUGAUAGAGGGCUUGAAAGAGAAAAUAAAUAACUCCCUUAACAAAAACAGGAGAACGCAGGUAAAUAGGUAGAAGUCCUUAUAGAGGAAACAUAUAAUUCCUU
ensembl:misc_RNA Metazoa_SRP Metazoan signal recognition particle RNA